CACAAAGAUUAUCUUUCUCCCUCCCUGGAGGCAUGAAGCAUCUUAUCAACAACAAAGCGCUGUGUUGGGUCAUACCAUGUAACUGCAGCCACAGUGACAAUAUGGCAUGUGCAUUCGUGUCAGCCACUGGUGUUAUGUCACAUGGCAGGUACAGGGUGAUGAGACUGGUGUCAUACGGUUAUCCUUUGAUACCUCUUCUGCACACAGACGUAAAAAUAAAGGUUUGAGAGAAGUUGUGUAACACAGAGCAAGGCAUGAGGACAUAUUGGUAUAUGAUAAAAGAGAGAAGUGCUGUUACAAAAUCUCUUCAGUGGCUAAUAAGGAUGUAGUUAUGAUCUCUGUUGAAAGCUCCAUCCCACUUGAGUGAGCUCAGCAUGCUCCCCGAGUCUCCUCCGUCUCAAACAGCAAAAUGUACUCACUGGGGUUAACCAAGAGGAGAGAGAGAAGGUUAAUGACGCACAGUGGGAAAUCAACCUCUAAGUAUCACAGAUAAUAUCACAAGAAAUGGAUAGAGAGGUAUAGGUGUGAAAGAGAAUGGGUAGAAAUAGGCGAUGUGAGGAGAGCAGGUGAAAGGAUUCUGAGGGGGGAAAAAAAUUGCAGGGAAAGCAGUGAGAAGUUAUAGUCACAGAAAUAUAAUUGAUGGACAAAUAGAGCUCAGAAACGCAGGAUGUAUGAUUAUCUCCUGCGCUCACAUUAGAGCCCACACAGACCAUUAGAUGUGAGCCCAGCUUGAACCAAUUUGGAAAUUAUCUAUUCAAGAAAAUCUUGAGUGGCAAGAACACAACACUCAGCCUUUUACCAGCACAAUACCAGUUGCAUUUUUGUCAUCUUGGUGGCAGAUAGUGGGGGAGGCGGAGAUGCGCGCGAGGGUGCAGCGUCUUGCUUAGAUGGAUGGACAGGUGGGAAGACCGGCAGAAAUUAGGUCAGCAAAUAUUAUAAAAGGGUGCGGUGUUGUUUUGGAAACAAUGUAGGAGGGGAGAGAGGGAGCGAGAAAGAUCUGGAACAAGGGAGGGAUGGAGAGGAAGAGUGGAGUGAGGCUGGCACUAAUGACGGGCGUGCCCAGGGCCACACAAGUACAGCUGUCUCCCUUCCCAACUUCAGCAAUGUCAGAUCAGCAUAAUAAAACCCAGUGUGUUGGUCUGUGCUCACAGGAACAGCUGGGUGGCUUGGUGGAAAAAAAACAACAAAAAAAAAAACACAUGAACAAGGGAGAGGAGAAUUGUGCAUCACCAAAUCCUAUGCUUCGAGCUUGUAGAGUUUCUUGAACAAAUCCUGGAGGUGCUCAGAGGGGAUUGUAGUUUAGAGAGGAGCAAGUGAUGGUGGACACUUAAACCUCUGGCAGCUUGGACAAAUCACUUUGCUUUCAUUGAGUUUCCAGUGGCUGAUGUCAGAAUGGGUCCAGAGUGCGCUGAGUCACACAUAUGCAGGUUCUGCCCACCACCUAGUCUGUGUGUUUGUGCCCUUAGUGGCCUUGUGAAAAGAAUGGACGCACGCACAUCGCAUGAAGUCAGAGGUACUUCUGCAACCUCACCUCACACCCAGGGUCCCUUAUCGCUGAUAUCAUACACCCAGGUCUUACAGGGCUUAACCCUGAACACACAAACAGAUAAAGUCAGCUCAGAGACUACCUAUACCGGACUUGAUCUUUACAUAUUAUUUGCACUUUUAUUGGAUGGGCCUACAUGUAGGAGGAUAUCUGCCUGUCUGACUCACUCCUUGUCUGUCUGACCACCCCCUCCUUCUAGCCUGCCAGCACUCUCUUUGUGUCUCUCGCUGUCUCUUUCUCCUCCUCUCUCGCCUGUGUUUGUGUUAAUCAUUGCUGAGGUGAUGUGGGCCAGGCAGAACCAGCGGAUAACGCGAUUAGAAGGGGCUCAGGCGCAAAGUCUCUACUCUGAUCGUCCCCAUCAUCUGGGACUCCAGUCACAUUUUUUGGGGGAUCUCCGGGUGGAAAAUGGCCUUGAUAAGAUCUUCAGACUUGUUACUUAAGGCCUCCAGAGGCUCCACAGAUGAAUGAAGCAUUGGAUCAGCACCAUAAACUCAACAACACAGUAAAUAUUAUACCAAUACUUCAGAUCAAGCCUCACAAAUCCAAUGGGAGGGAUGAGAAGAGCGGGAAGCGGAGUGGGAGGAAGAGAUGGAUUGAAGAGUGAAGAUACUGAAAACGAAGAGAGAGAGAGAGAGAGAGAAAAAAAAACACAAACAGAGCUGAUAAGGCCUUCGGCAGAGGAAGUGUCGUUCUCGGCCAAUCCCCAGCGGACUCCCAGUAUCCCACUCUUCCCCCUGCUGCAGGAUGUGUCCCCCGUGUGGGAAUACGCAAAGAAUGCAGCCCCUUUUGUUUAGUGUGCGAUAGGCUCCUGGUUGGCGGUCAUUUGUGUGUCUUAUGUGUGACAAGCUCCAGGCUUGGCAGGGGCUGAUCACAGCAACAUUCAGCAGUCCUUUCUGGGUAAGACCCUCCUAGGAAAACAAUGACUGGUCUUAUGGCUGCUAUCUUUCAAAGCCUCUCCUUGGCUGAUGGAACACUUGCUGGGCUCUCACUGCGCUUCAUAUCCCAAAGACUACAGUUUAAACAAAGAGCUAAGAAGGCAUCUACAUCAGUGGUUCCCAACUUUUUUUUUUUUUCCUUUUGUCAGAUCUACCCCUAAAGCCCUAUCAGAUUAACUCAAGUACCCCCUUACUGACACCACUUAUCAUGUUCCAAAAGUGUUCAUUUGAACUGGAUGCUAUCAUUCUCAUUAAAGUAUCUAGUGUAAGUACGUAACUACAUACUAACAAAAGCUGGAUGUUUCAACCUCUGUCAAAGUUACUUUUAGUUCACAACAAUUCAGCCAUUUUUUUUAGCUUUCUCACCUGUUACCUCGACAUUUUAAUAUUAGUUAUUAUAACUGUUUUCUAGUACUUUUAGCUAACUAUUUUAAGAAUUUAUCCAUCACUAUUGGCUAACUACAAUUCAUUAGCUACUUCCAAGUACGUGUUUCAGCACCUUAUCUGUUACUUUUAGCUGUUAGACUUGCCCACUCACUUGGUAACUCAAUUUCAUGUACACUUAAAGAGUAAUACACUGUAGUCAAACAGCCUUGGUUGGGUACUACUGAGCUACAUCAAAGCAGUUUCAUCAAAAAAGUGAUAUCUUCAUUUCAUUCAAUGGACCAAUAAACUUCUUUCAUCAGAA